AAACAUAGUAUUUAUCUGCACGGAUUAAUCAUAGAGAACACUUGACUCAUCUUCUAGCUCCUUUUUCUUGCCUGGGAUCAGGCCACAGCCAUUUUCAAAAUGAAGCAUAAGGCAGAGACGUCUGGUAGCUGAACACCCUAAAUACAAGACUGACGUCAGUCAGUACAUCCACCAAACUUUCUCCUGGAAGUCAGUUUUCAAGCAACUUUUUACAUGGCCAGAAGUUGAAUUUACUAAAAUGUAAGUUUUCACCCAUCUUCUCUGACAGAGGUUUAUAACUUAACUGUGGAC
rnacentral:lncRNA from 1 species